rnacentral:rRNA from 1 species
GUGAACGCUGGCGGUAGGCCUAACACAUGCCAGUCGGACGGCAGCACAGUAAGAGCUUGCUCUUACGGGUGGCGAGUGGCGGACGGGUGAGGAAUACAUCGGAAUCUACUUUUUCGUGGGGGAUAACGUAGGGAAACUUACGCUAAUACCGCAUACGACCUACGGGUGAAAGCAGGGGAUCUUCGGACCUUUCGCGGUUGAAUGAGCCGAUGUCGGAUUAGCUAGUUGGCGGGGUAAAGGCCCACCAAGGCGACGAUCCGUAGCUGGUCUGAGAGGAUGAUCAGCCACACUGGAACUGAGACACGGUCCAGACUCCUACGGGAGGCAGCAGUGGGGAAUAUUGGACAAUGGGCGCAAGCCUGAUCCAGCCAUACCGCGUGGGUGAAGAAGGCCUUCGGGUUGUAAAGCCCUUUUGUUGGGAAAGAAAAGCAGCAGGUUAAUACCCCGCUGUUCUGACGGUACCCAAAGAAUAAGCACCGGCUAACUUCGUG